UACGUAGGGGGCAAGCGUUGUCCGGAUUUAUUGGGCGUAAAGAGCGUGUAGGCGGCCAUACAGGUCAGCUGUGAAAACUCGAGGCUCAACCUCGAGACGUCGGUUGAAACCGUAUGGCUAGAGUCCGGAAGAGGAGAGUGGAAUUCCCGGUGUAGCGGUGAAAUGCGCAGAUAUCGGGAAGAACACCCGUGGCGAAGGCGGCUCUCUGGGACGGUACUGACGCUGAGACGCGAAAGCGUGAGGAGCGAACAGG
rnacentral:rRNA from 1 species